ACCCUGCUUUCUAGGGAGAAUCCAGCUUAGACAAGCACUCCUAGUAGGCCCUCAAUUUUAUGAACAACCAUUGAUUUAUAAAGGUUUUUUUAACAAGUAAGAAACAGGCCAGGCGUGGUGGCUCAGGCCUUUAAUCCCAGCACUUUGGGAGGCCGAGGCGGGCGGAUCACGAGGUCAGGAGAUCGAGACCAUCCUGGCUAACAUGGUGAAACCCUGUCUCUACUAAAAAUACAAAAACAAAAAAGAAAUUAGCUGGGCAUGGUGGCGGGCGGCUGUAGUCCCAGCUACUCGGGAGGCUGAGGCGGGAGAAUGGCGUGAACCCGGGAGGUGGAGCUUGCAGUGAGCCGAGAUCACGUCACUGCACUCCAGCCUGGGCAACAGAGUAAGACUCCAUUUCAAAAAAAAAAAGAAGUUAGAUAGAAACAUUGUCACGUUAAAUAUACAUGUCAAUUGUAAGAAGCAUUAAAUUUCAGAAAUGUUGGAACACAGGAAUAAAAUUCUUUCAUAAUCUAGAUAUCCUGGCCCAUGACUUCUUUAAAUCUUUAUUUAAGGAAUUUCCAUCUUUCUUUCUUUCCCUGCCUCCCUUCUUUCUUUUCUGUUUUAAUGAUGAGUGCUGUAUAGAUACAUUUAGAAAAAAAAAAAUUUAGGCCGGGCACGGUGGCUCACGCCUGUAAUCCCAACACUUUGGGAGGCCGAGGUGGGCGGAUCACUUGAGGUCAGGAGUUCGCGGCCAGCCUGGCCAACAUAGUGAAACCCCAUCUCUACUCAAAAUACAAAAAUUAGCUGGGCAUAGUGGCACACCCCUGUAGUCCCAGCUACUCAGGAGGCUGAGGCAGGAGAAUAGCUUGAACUUGGGAGGCAGAGGUUGCAGUGAGCUGAGAUCGUGCCACUGCACUCCAGCCUGGGUAACACAGUGAGACUCUGUCUCAAAAAAAAAAAAAAAAAUUAGACAUAAUACCUAUAGUGAUAUGGGUUACAUGAUGUGGAUGAAUGUGUUUAAAUCGAAAUGAAUAUGCAUGUUUAACUUGAAUACAAGACAAACUUAUUAAAGACUAAGUCAUAUACAUAAUAAAAAAUCAAAAUCCUUAUUUUUCUGUUAUUCACAUCCAUUAGGAAGAAGUAAAAUAUACUCAAAUCCAAUAUACUUGAUCUGUCUGGUAGUGAUACCUAAAUAAGGUAAUGAUGUUAACAUCUUGUCAUUUCCGUUAGUAUUUUUACUUGAAAAAUCAAAUAGCUUUGACUUUGCACUAUAAUUAGGAAUGGCUGCACACAAAUUUCAGUUGGACUUACAUGUCGUUAUUUGUAUUAAUUAAACAUAAUUUUCUAGGUAAUUAAUGAUCCUAUCCAUGGCCACAUUGAGCUCCACCCUCUCCUCGUCCGAAUCAUUGAUACACCUCAAUUUCAACGUCUUCGAUACAUCAAACAGCUGGGAGGUGGUUACUAUGUUUUUCCAGGAGCUUCACACAAUCGAUUUGAGCAUAGUCUAGGGUAAGAAGGGAAUGGGGUGGGGAACUUGCAGUUUUUAAGUAUUUUCUCUGUCUCAUGAAAUAGUUAUCUUAGGCCAGGCAUGGUGGCUCACACCUAUAAUCCCAGCACUUUGGGAGGCAGAGGUGGGUGGAUCACAUGAGGUCAGGAGUUCAAGACCAGCCUGGCCAACAUUGUGAAACCCCAUCUUUACUACAAAUACAAAAUUAGCCAGACAUGAUUGUGCGCACCUGUAAUCCUAGCUACUCAGGAGGCUGAGGCAGGAGGAUCACUUGAACCCAGGAGGUUGGUGGUUGCAGUGAGCUGAGAUUGCACCAUCGCACUCCAGCCUAGGCAACAAGAGCAAAACCCCAUCUCAAAAAAAAAAAAAAAAAGAAAGAAAAAGAAAAAAGUAGGCACUCUUUUUAUGUCCCCCGGAGACUUACAAAGAACCAAUACCAGCCCCUAGAUGAUAAAUUUGAUGGAUUCUUGGUAUUUUGAGGGAGAAUCAUUGGGAAACCUUUGCCAGUCCCCAGGAGCCUGAGCACUGCAUUAGCGAGCCUUUAUGUGUAGCCUGUGACUUGCAAAGCAGGGCCAAGGCUAGUCUAGGUAGACUUCCCUCUCCAGUUAAGUGGCUCACUUCUUUUUUUUUUUUUUUCAGAUGGAGUCUCGCUCUGUUGCCCAGGCUGGAGUGCAAUGGUACGAUCUUGGCUCACCUUGAUUAAGCAGAAUCAUAUAGGAGGUCCUAUUUUAUGCCUUGCUUUAUUUACUCAACAUAAUGGUUUUGAGAUUUGUUCAUGUUAUGUGCCUCAGUAGUUGAUCCUUUUUUUUAUCGCCUACGUAGUGUGGCAUUAUGCAAAUAAGUCACAAUUUGUUUACCCUUUCUUGUUUUGUUGGAAUUUGGAUUGUUUUCAGGUUUUGGUUGUUAUAAAUAAGUACAAGAUUUUGGUAGAAAUACAUUUUCUAUGUUGUUGUAGUGUGGAAAGUUAAUUACAUUUUUAAAACAAGAAAUACAUUCAGCAGAAAUACAUUAUUUUAUAAAAAUAAAAAUAGAUAAAAUAAAGAAAUACAUUUUCAUUUCACUUAGGU
rnacentral:lncRNA from 10 species